rnacentral:rRNA from 1 species
GACGAACGCUGGCGGCGUGCCUAACACAUGCAAGUCGAGCGAAUGAAGUUCCUUCGGGAACGGAUUUAGCGGCGGACGGGUGAGUAACACGUGGGAACCUGCCCUGUGGUACGGAAUAACUCCGGGAAACUGGAGCUAAUACCGUAUGCGUCCUGCGGGACAAAGAUUUAUCGCCAUGGGAUGGGCCCGCGUAGUAUUAGCUUGUUGGUGGGGUAACGGCCUACCAAGGCAACGAUCCUUAGCUGGUCUGAGAGGAUGAUCAGCCACACUGGGACUGAGACGCGGCCCAGACUCCUACGGGAGGCAGCAGUGGGGAAUAGUGGGCAAUGGGCGCAAGCCUGAUCCAGCAAUGCCGCGUGAGUGAUGCAGGCCUUCGGGUUGUAAAGCUCUUUCGCACGCGACGAUGAUGGCGGUAGCGUGAGAAGAAGCCCCGGCUAACUUCGUGCCAGCCGCCGCCGUAAAAC